ACGAGGCUCCCUCCCUCCCUCGAACCCUAGCUACCCCUCGUCUCCCCGCCUCCUGCCGCACCCGCCGCCGCACCCCAAUCCCCGAUUUGGCUCUCCACCUCACGACGACGCGUUUCUCCCGGCGAUGACCCCCCUCCUCCUCCUCCCGCGCCGUUCGCCGCCCCGCAAACUCCAGCAGCCGUUAUUCGCCCUUCGCCGCGGGAGCCGCCGUAGGAGCCGCUCGCCGCUGGAGCCGCAGCCCGAGCAGCCGCGGGAGCCGCUCGCCGCUGCAUCCGCCGCCGCGGGUCGCCCUUCGCCGCAGGUCGCCGCCGGAGCCGCCCCGCCCCUGGAUCCGCUCGUCGCCGGAGCCGCCCGUCGCGCUCCCACUCAGCUUGGCCUCCGCCCCGCCGCCCCCGGUCCUCAAGCAAGCUACUUCAAUUUUAGGUGAGCUGGCAGGGAUCACAAGCAUCGGUUUCAAAAAGUAGGCCAUUUGUUCCUGGUUUUCAAGUUUGUGCCAUAACCUGAAGGAGAAAGAGUUCACUAUUGACCAGCAGUUAAAAGCAGGACGCCGGCGGCGGAGACGAAGGCAAUUUGUACUGGGACGUCGUGGCCGAGCUGCAGGACCUCCGCCUUGACGAGCUGCUGGACCUAGGCUUCGACGAGACGCCGGACCUCGGCCUCCCUCUGGUUUUCAUGCUGGAACAGUUUUGUAGAGACAAAUUGGAAGAGUGCAGCUGCCCUGGCUCAUGGAAUUGGAAGAAUUUAUGCUUUUUUCUACUCAGAAAGGAAGCUAUUUUUUUCUGGAUCGUAGAUAGAAAGGAUGCAACUUUGUCAGGGGUAGUAGAUACAAAGUUCAGUGUCUACAGCAUAUAAACCGGAAGCCGUGCUUCCGGUUUCAACAUAUAAACUUUUUUGGUCAUACAAUCUGAAAUUUUAGCAUUUCAUAUAGACAACCUAUCAUUUGUGGUUCACCACAUUUACAUGCUCUGAUUCCCACGCUCAUGUGAAUAAGUAUAUGACAGAAAUUUCAAAGUAUCUUGUCAGUUAGAAUUAUCACAUGGGUACCCAUUUUUCUCCAUGAAAAUACCUCAUGUAAUGCUAUGUUCCAUAUUUUCUACAUUAUGAUAAGUUCAUAAUUUAUAUAUUGUUUCAACAUUAUAUUUUGUACUGAGACAUGCAGCCAUAUAUUCUACUCCCUCUGUUCCGAUUUAUUUGUCGUUGGGGGUUUCGUUCCGACCAGGUGAAAUGGCGUGAAAGUACGGAAGUACCCCUGAUUUGAAAUUGAUCAGGAGGCGUCUUCCUCCGUCGCUCCUCCCCUCCGCCAGGAUUCUCCGCCGGGCUCCUCCGCCGUCCGCAUCUCCGGCGUCCUUCCCCGCCGCGGUCCGCAGCUCCUUCGCCGUCCGCCCUUCCCCGCCACGGUCCGCAGCUCCCUCGCCGGCCGCCCUUCCCCGUCGCGGUCCGCAGCUCCCUCGCCGGCCGCCCUUCCCCGCCGGCUGCCUGCUCCGCCACAGCUUCGGAUCCUUCCCUGCUUGCUACAGAUCCCUCGCCGGCUGCCUCCCCCACUCCAAUCAAGAGCUCGAGGUCAGCCGCUCCGCUGUCCACUUCUGCUGCUCCUCUCGUCUCUGCUCCUCCCCACUCCAAUCAAGAGAAUCUGCAAUCGAUCCAAAAAAACAGGUCAAUUGAUGUCAAUUUGAUUAACUAAUUCAUCCAAGAAACAGAAUGAUAAGUCCAUAUGCUACUGUCGAUCCCAAGACCGGAAUGACAAGUCCAUGUGUUCCUCAAUUGAGGAAUUUGAUUAACUAAAUCAUCCAAAAACAAGAAUGAUAAGGCCCCAUGCUACUGUUGAUCCCAAGUUUGAUGCAUAUUAAUUGUUGUUUGAGUUCUCCAAAUGAACAGGAGUACUCCUCAAUUUUGCGAUGAGCCUGUGAUGCUAGUGAUGAUGCUUGUAUGUGUAACUCCAUUUGAAUUUUUAACCCAUUUGAAUUUUUACAAUUUAAAGUUUAAAUUAAAGUUUCACUUAAAAUUUCAUAAGAGAGCAAGAAGAGAUAACAUAGAGAGAAGAGAAAGAGAAGAGAAGAUGGAGAGAAGAGAGAAGAAAAUUUCAGUUAAUUAACUGAAACGUAACAGCAGCAACAACAAGUCCUACUCCAAGAACUACUCCUACUCCUAAAUUUAAGCUACUGAAAAACUACUGCAACCAAAACAGUACUGCACUUCAUUUUAAGCUAAUGUACCAAGUCAACAGAAGAUUCAUGACAAGAUUAACAGUAGCAGAAGCUUCAUGUGCUAAAAUACUGAAGCUUCAUGGGCAAAAUUACUGAAGCUUCAUGUGCAAAAUUACAGAAUUUGCAAAAUUUUGGAAACUAAAUUCUGUAAACUGGUAUUUUUGACAAGGAAACAAAAUUGUACUGAAGGAGUAUGUUCUGUUUCAUGAACUAAAUAGUCUUACUUUUGAAAAUAUUCAGCUCAGGAGUAUUUGUUAUCAAAGGUAUCAUGAGCUCAGCUUGAAUAUUCAGCUCAGAAAAUAACCUUAAAUAACAUAAAACUAAAAUAGUACUGCACUUCAUUUUAAGCUACUCCAUACUCCAGUUUAGAUAGGAGAAGAAGAUAAGAGAGUUUACUCCAUUUGAAUUAAGGCCUGAUGUAUUGCAGUUUAAGUGUCAACAAGCAAUGUGGUCUACAUUUCCAUGCCACUAGUCUACAGUUUCUGUGGAGUAAUUUUUUACUAAAAUGUGAUUCAGUAACAAUGCAGAGUUGCCUCCGUUUAGAGUACUUGCAUGUUCCUCCAACAGUAGGAAUUAUUCCUAACAAAGCACUACUCAUCCUCUCACAGUAGCAAUUCAAGAUGAGCACUACUCCAAUAAACCCUACACUAAACUACAGAUGCAAGAAGAGAAAGAGAAGAGAGAAGAGAAGUCCUACUGUAACUGAAAAAGUUUCAGUUAAGUAACUGAAAAAAUUCAGUAAAUACUGAAACUACUCAUGCAACAAUGGAAUUUUCAGUGGAGUAGCUUCAAAAUUCAGUAAAUACUGAUGUACUCCUACUGCAAACAAAAUUCAGACACUAUAAACUGCAUUUGAUGCAGUACAACUACUCAUAGUUCAUCUACUGAAAGCACAUGAACAAAAUUCAGACACUAUAAACUGCAUCUGAUGAGGUAAUUGUUCAGGAGUACUGGAAUACUUGAAUCACAGUGCAUCUACUGAAAGCACAUGAACAUGAACAACAAGAAUACUCACCAUCGUUGUCGGGGAAGCACGCUGCAACUUGCUCCAGCUUGCUUCGGUCCUCCUCUGCUCCAGCUUGUCGGCGACGAAGCUACAUGGUCGGCUGCCGCACGUUGGGGACGAGCUCGGAGAGGCGUUGGUAAAGCUCGGAGAUCUGCACUUGCUUGAAUCGCCAAGUUCAAUCCUUGUACCAAGCUCGGAGAGGCGUUGGUAGAUGAGCAGCAGCGAGGGAGCGAGGAGGGGGCGACGUACCACAGCUGCUGGCGUUGGAAUGGAGGAAGGCCGUUGCAGAUCGAGCCGCCGGAGAAUAAAAAUGAGAUCUUGGCGACGGCGACGGCGGCGGAGCCAAUGGAAAGGCGGCGCCAACGCGGGCGAGGGAGAGGCGCCGACGACGCAAACGAGGUAGAGGCGCAGGCGACGCAGGCUAGGGAGAGGCGCCGGCGACGCAGACGAGAUAGAGGCGCCGGCGACGCAGGCUAGGGAGAGCGAGCUUGUGAGUUGUGAGUGAGCGAGAGAGUGGACGAGAGCGAGCGGUGGGAGCGUAGUUUAGGAAACAGCAAAAAGAAUUGUACGUGACAAACUUUGUACUAGAAACCCCCAACGACAAAUAAAACGGUACAGAGGGAGUAUUUCUGCUUCAAUAUAUUCUCCCAUGUGCAUUCUAAUAGACAAUUGGCCCUCUUUUUUUGUGAUAAUGAACUGCGUGAUUAAUGAUAGUCCUUGAUGAAAUGCCACUAAGUUAGUCUACUAUCUCAAGUCAUAUUCGAUAAUAAUUUAUUUUACAUUGCCAUCUUUCUUGAUUACGUACCAUGUCGUUGCAGAUGAUCUCAGGUAAUCAGAUCCAACACCAAAAUUCAAUUUGAGUUGCUUUUAAAUGCUUCUGGAAGGCAGAUGAUGUUGAUAUGCUACAUUGUAGUUCAUGUUUGGUAGGCUAUGAUAUUUUUGCCCUAAAAUGUCACAUUUCUUAAUUCCAAAAUUUAAUUGUUGUAGGCUGAACAUGAGCAUGUCUGUUUGUGGUGUUGAGGUAAAGCUCAGUUUGUUACACAGCAGAGCCAAGGGCAUAUCGUGGACCAAGUAUAGCAACCUGGGCAGCGUGUGCAGCUAGCUUCGGGAGUGAAAUGAGAUAAUACAGAGCAUGACAUGUGCCGAUAGCAUGAAAUUGGAGGAGCUGAAUUAUAUAUUGGUUCCUUGUUGACCUCUCACCCUGCUGAUGUAGUUCUGUAUUGUAUAGGUGAUUGCACUUGUGGAAGGAUUAGCCCACCAGUGCUCAGACGGAACGUGCAUUCUAAGCCAGAUUCAGGUGCUCUGCUCCAGCUUUCAACAAGUCAAUCUUGUUUAGUACUAUGGAGUGCAAACUAUGCAGAUGAUGUUUGUGUUUAGAAGUUUCUACUAAAACACAUAUAACUCUUUGGGUGGGUCAGGUGCCCCCUUUCUCAUACAAUUGAGCCGUGUUCACUUGAGUGUAACUUGUAGCCUUGUAAAUUAAAGAGAACAUGUGUUGACUCCCAGUUUAUAGCUGACCUUGCACGCCAAAGUUGGACAAGAUAUUAUUGAGCUAAAGAUAUUCAAAUGCAAGGCUGAGGCUAAUAUCGUAGCUAUGGCCAAUGCUUUGAAUAAAAUAAUCUGGUGUGUUGCUCGGAUGUCAAUUUAGUGUGAAUAUACACCCCUUUUUCAACGAGAAUGGAACUAACA